UGCGUGGGCGGACUAAUAAGUCAGUGGUGAAAUCUCUCGGCUCAACCGGGAAACUGCCAUUGAUACUGUUAGUCUUGAGUUCGGUUGAGGUAGGCGGAAUGUGUAAUGUAGCGGUGAAAUGCUUAGAUAUUACACAGAACACCAAUUGCGUAGGCAGCUUACUAGACCGACACUGACGCUGAGGCACGAAAGCGUGGGUAGCGAACAGGAUUAGAUACCCUGGUAGUCC
rnacentral:rRNA from 1 species